rnacentral:rRNA from 1 species
CGAAGGGUGCAAGCGUUGCUCGGAAUUAUUGGGCGUAAAGGGUAGGUAGGUGGUAAUAAAAGUCUGGGGUGAAAUCCCUGAGCUCAACUCGGGAAGUGCCUUGGAAACUUUAUUACUAGAGUGCUGGAGAGGUCCGCAGAAUUCCCGGUGUAGCGGUGAAAUGCGUAGAGAUCGGGAGGAAUACCAGAGGCGAAGGCGGCGGACUGGACAGCAACUGACACUCAACUACGAAAGCGUGGGUAGCAAACAGGAUU